AACGAACGCUGGCGGCAUGCCUAACACAUGCAAGUCGAACGAGACCUGCGGGUCUAGUGGCGCACGGGUGCGUAACGCGGGGGAACCUGCCCUUAGGUUAGGAAUAACGCACCGAAAGGGGUGCAAAUAACGGGAAAUGUCUUCGGGCCAAAGAUUUAUCGCCUUUGGAUGGGCCCGCGUUGGGUUAAAUAGUUGGUAGGGUAAAAGGCUACCAAGGCGACGAUCCAUAGCUGGUCUUAGAGGAUGAUCAGCCACACUGGGAAUGAGACACGGCCCAGACUUCUACGGAAGGCCGGAGUUGUGAAUAUUCAACAAUGGGCGAAAGCCUGAUCCAUCCAUGUCGUGUGAGUGAUGAAUGCCUUAGGGUUGUAUAUCUCUUUUACCCGGGAUCAUAAUGACAGUACCGUGCGAAUAAGCGCCGGCUAACUCCGUG
rnacentral:rRNA from 1 species